rnacentral:rRNA from 1 species
UACGUAGGGGGCAAGCGUUGUCCGGAAUCAUUGGGCGUAAAGAGCGUGUAGGCGGCUCGGUAAGUCCGCUGUGAAAGUCCAGGGCUCAACCCUGGAAUGCCGGUGGAAACUGUCGAGCUAGAAUCCGGAAGAGGCGAGUGGAAUUCCUGGUGUAGCGGUGAAAUGCGCAGAUAUCAGGAGGAACACCAAUGGCGAAGGCAGCUCGCUGGGACGGUAUUGACGCUGAGACGCGAAAGCGUGGGGAGAAAACAGG